CAGCCGCCGCGGGAAUACGUAGGUGGCGAGCGUUGUCCGGAAUCAUUGGGCGUAAAGGGAGCGCAGGCGGGCAUGUAAGUCUUUCUUAAAAGUGCGGGGCUCAACCCCGUGAUGGGAAAGAAACUACAUGUCUUGAGUACAGGAGAGGAAAGCGGAAUUCCCAGUGUAGCGGUGAAAUGCGUGGAUAUUGGGAGGAACACCAGUGGCGAAGGCGGCUUUCUGGACUGCAACUGACGCUGAGGCGCGAAAGCGUGGGGAGCAAACAGGAUUAGAUACCCCCGUAGUCCCUGUCUCUUAUACA
rnacentral:rRNA from 1 species